ACCUGGGUGGCUCAGUCGGUGGGCGCCUGACUUCGGCUCAGGUCAUGAUAUUGCGGUCUGUGAGUUCGAGCCCCACUUUGGGCU
rnacentral:tRNA from 1 species